rnacentral:rRNA from 1 species
GAUGAACGCUGGCGGCGUGCCUAAUACAUGCAAGUCGAGCGGACCAAAGAGAGCUUGCUCUCUGAGGUUAGCGGCGGACGGGUGAGUAACACGUGGGUAACCUGCCUGUAAGACGGGGAUAACUUCGGGAAACCGAAGCUAAUACCGGAUGAUAAAGAGAAACGCCUGUUUCUUUUUUGAAAGUCGGCCUUGUGCUGACGCUUACAGAUGGGCCCGCGGCGCAUUAGCUAGUUGGUGAGGUAACGGCUCACCAAGGCGACGAUGCGUAGCCGACCUGAGAGGGUGAUCGGCCACACUGGGACUGAGACACGGCCCAGACUCCUACGGGAGGCAGCAGUAGGGAAUCUUCGGCAAUGGACGAAAGUCUGACCGAGCAACGCCGCGUGAGCGAUGAAGGCCUUCGGGUCGUAAAGCUCUGUUGUCAGAGAAGAACAAGUACCGGAGUAACUGCCGGUACCUUGACGGUACCUGACCAGAAAGCCACGGCUAACUACGUGCCAGCCGCCGCAGUAAAAC